rnacentral:rRNA from 1 species
GGGGGGGGGGGGGGGGGGGCGUGGCGGGGGGGGGGCGGGGGGGGGGGCCCCGUUGGGGGUCCGCGAGUGGCGGGGGGGGGAGGGGGCCGUGGGUGACCUGGCCUGGCCUUCGGGGUACCCUCCGGAGACGUGGGCUAAUACCGGCUGGGACUCCUUUCUGCCUGGUGGGGGGUGGGCAGCUUCGGCGUGUUUGGCUGGACUCGCGGCUUAUCAGCUUGGUGGGGGGGUAGUGGCUGACCAAGGCUUUGACGGGUAGCCGGCCUGAGAGGGCGACCGGGCACAUUGGGACUGAGAUACGGCCCAGACUCCUACGGGAGGCAGCAGUGGGGAAUAUUGCACAAUGGGCGGAAGCCUGAGGCAGCAACGCCGCGUGCGGGAUGACGGCCUUCGGGUUGUAAACCGCUUUCAGCAGGGGCGAAGCUUGUGGUGACGGUACCUGCAGAAGAAGCACCGGCUAACUACGUG